rnacentral:rRNA from 1 species
CGCGGCCUAUCAGCUUGUUGGUGAGGUAACGGCUCACCAAGGCGACGACGAGUAGCCGGCCUGAGAGGGUGACCGGCCACACUGGGACUGAGACACGGCCCAGACUCCUACGGGAGGCAGCAGUGGGGAAUAUUGCACAAUGGGCGCAAGCCUGAUGCAGCAACGCCGCGUGAGGGAUGACGGCCUUCGGGUUGUAAACCUCUUUUAGCAGGGAAGAAGCGAAAGUGACGGUACCUGCAGAAAAAGCACCGGCUAACUACGUGCCAGCAGCCGCGGUAAUACGUAGGGUGCAAGCGUUGUCCGGAAUUAUUGGGCGUAAAGAGCUCGUAGGCGGUUUGUCACGUCUGCUGUGAAAAUCCAAGGCUCAACCUUGGACUUGCAGUGGGUACGGGCAGGCUAGAGUGCGGUAGGGGAGAUGGGAAUUCCUGGUGUAGCGGUGGAAUGCGCAGAUAUCAGGAGGAACACCAAUGGCGAAGGCACAUCUCUGGGCCGUAACUGACGCUGAGGAGCGAAAGCGUGAGGAGCGAACAGGAUUAGAUACCCUGGUAGUCCACGCCGUAAACGGUGGGUGCUAGCUGUGGGCCACAUUCCACGUGGUCCGUGACGAAGUUAACACAUUAAGCACCCCGCCUGGGGAGUACGG